ACACUCCUACGGGGGGCAGCAGAGGGGAAUAUUGGGCAAUGGGCGCAAGCCUGACCCAGCAACGCCGCGUGAAGGAAGAAGGCUUUCGGGUUGUAAACUUCUUUUCUCAGGGACGAAGAAAGUGACGGUACCUGAGGAAUAAGCCACGGCUAACUACGUGCCAGCAGCCGCGGUAAUACGUAGGUGGCAAGCGUUAUCCGGAUUUAUUGGGGGUAAAGGGCGUGUAGGAGGGAGCGCAAGUC
rnacentral:rRNA from 1 species